GACGGCGGCAAUUGGGCAAUCGCCUUCCGCGUAUCAAGCGUAGAGCGUGCCAUUGCCACAUACUGACCGAUUGUUUUAGUCUUGGACCGAACUCUUAAAUCUACCAUGGCGUUAGAAAAUUUAAUUAAUGUUUGAUACGCAAACAAGUUUAACUGAAGAAGAAAGUCAAUCUUAUGUUCUUCCUUAGCAAGGAAGAAAAUAACCAUUAAAUUUCGUCCUUAAUUAGCUUCAUACUCGAUCUGUCCCUCCACAUAAUUAAGAUGCAUGUCUCCAUCUCCUCUUAAUUCUUCCAGUCUCUUCUUUUGUAGUGGAUCACUACUACAAGCGGCGGGCGGACGAUCGGCGAUGGAACCGUCGCCGCCGCUGAUGACUACUCUCCGGCUCAUUUCAUCGCCUGGUGGAGAUGGCGGAAGGGUAUUGACGGCCGCGAUUUCAUGAUCAGCUCUUUUACACCCAGUUCGGCUGUCUGGUUUCAUGGCCAUCUGAGUAUCUCCCGUUAAAACGCCACCGUGGGACUUGGAUAGGUGGAGGAGAAAGGUAUUUUAUAAAUAAAUUAGUAUAUAAUUUAGUAAAUUGAAAAGUAGAAAGGAUGAGUGUUUGAAAAUUUUAGGUAUCUGAUUUAAUAAAUUGCUGAACGCGUUGCCGUC